rnacentral:rRNA from 1 species
UACGUAGGGGGCGAGCGUUGUCCGGAGUUACUGGGCGUAAAGGGCAUGCAGGCGGUCGGACGCGUUUCGGGUGACAGCGGGUGGCUUAACUACCCGAGUGGUCGAAAGACGGUUUGACUUGAGGACGCGAGAGGGACACGGAAUUCCGGGGUGGAGUGGUGAAAUGCGUAGAGAUCCGGAGGAACACCGAAGGCGAAGGCAGUGUCCUGGCGCGUAACUGACGCUGAGGUGCGAAAGCCAGGGGAGCGAACGGG